UACAGAGGGUGCGAGCGUUGUCCGGAAUCACUGGGCGUAAAGGGCGCGUAGGCGGCCUGAUAAGUCGGGGGUGAAAUCCUGUGGCUUAACCACAGGGCUGCCUCCGAGACUGUCGGGCUCGAGCACAGUAGAGGCAGGUGGAAUUCCCGGUGUAGCGGUGGAAUGCGUAGAGAUCCGGAGGAAGACCGGUGGCGAAGGCGGCCUGCUGGGCAGUUACUGACGCUGAGGUGCGAAAGCGUGGGGAGCAAACAGG
rnacentral:rRNA from 1 species